rnacentral:rRNA from 1 species
CAUAUGCUGGCUGUCCGGGUGUGUAAAAUACACCUGUUAGCAAGGGCCGGGCAAGACCGGUGCCAGCCGCCGCGGUAACACCGGCGGCCCGAGUGGUGAUCGUGAUUAUUGGGUCUAAAGGGUCCGUAGCCGGUUUGGUCAGUCCUCCGGGAAAUCUGACGGCUCAACCGUUAGGCUUUCGGGGGAUACUGCCAGACUUGGAACCGGGAGAGGUAAGAGGUACUACAGGGGUAGGAGUGAAAU